UCCUCAGCUACCUGGUGAUUUCAGAACCUCUAGAGGAACAGAAAUGUCUUCUUACACAGAUUAUCAGCAUGCUGUGGGGUAUUAAGACUCCUAAGAGUCAGAGGAUCAUCACACAAAGAAAGUCCAGAUGCCCACGCUUCCCUGAGGCAAUACAAAGAUAUGAAAGGAAAAAUA